AUUGAACGCUGGCGGCAUGCCUUACACAUGCAAGUCGAACGGCAGCGGACCUUCGGGUGCCGGCGAGUGGCGAACGGGUGAGUAAAGUAUCGGAACGUACCUUUCAGUGGGGGAUAACGUAGCGAAAGUUACGCUAAUACCGCAUAUUCUGUGAGCAGGAAAGCAGGGGAUCGCAAGACCUUGCGCUGAUUGAGCGGCCGAUAUCAGAUUAGCUAGUUGGUGAGGUAAAGGCUCACCAAGGCGACGAUCUGUAGCGGGUCUGAGAGGAUGAUCCGCCACACUGGAACCGAGACACGGUCCAGACUCCUACGGGAGGCAGCAGUGGGGAAUUUUGGACAAUGGGGGCAACCCUGAUCCAGCCAUGCCGCGUGAGUGAAGAAGGCCUUCGGGUUGUAAAGCUCUUUCGGCCGGGAAGAAAUCGCGCCAGUUAAUACCUGGUGUGGAUGACGGUACCGGAAUAAGAAGCACCGGCUAACUACGUGCCAGCCGCCGCGGUAAAAC
rnacentral:rRNA from 1 species